GCUGGCGCGGGCGGCGGAGCAACGAGCACGCGGCGGCUAGACUAGAGCAUCGCCGCUGCCGGCUCCCGAUUGGCUGUGACGUUAUAACCCGCCAGGCGGUCUCGGGACCCGCGGAGUGGAAACUCCGGGAAAGGAGUGCGACGUCUCAGCCUGGUUCUGCGACUUCGGCUGAGAAAGCGGGGGACCCAGUGCGGGCGCGGGCCCUCCGAAAAUCCUUGUAACUUUACCGAAUUUCUUAAGGAUAGAGAACUGCAACUCCCGCCCUUCUUGAGCCGGUAUUUCCCGUUUGCGGCUGCGCGGUUGGCCUGGGUUAAAGCAUCUAGAGACCCUAGGAUUGCUUCAGGUCAGCAGUCCCCACUGGAGAAAAAAAUAUUGGUAAAUAAGUUGUCUUCACAUCAUACAGGUUGGAACUACUAAGAGAAAGAACCUUAGGUUUAAAACCUUUCUGCUGAAGUGACACCUCGAGUAGUGUGUGUACACUGGCACCUGUUUUCUAGCUAUAUCCAUACUUGAAAAACAAAGUAUUAUUUUGGAAACUCCCAACACUAUAUUUUUAGAAAGCUAGUUAUUGAUUUUGGUGGUAGGUACUUUACCUUUCAGAGCUCACAGGCUCACCUAGGAAUGAUGGGAGUAACAAAGUUCUUAUACUAAAGUAAACCAUAAACCACUCAUCUUUUCUUGGUGUCAGUAGUCAGGGUAAACUACUGUUUAAAUAUGUUCAGUGUAAAAGAUGGUCACCCCAUACAAUUCUGUCCCCCCGAUAGAAUCUAGGUGGUGUGCGUACCAAAGCAGCCAGACAACUGAGAACUCAAAAAAAUCAAGAGGAGUAUCAGACACUCUAUAGGGAGCAAGAUCUCUCCCUUGACUACUGGCUCGCCCGAGUGGAGUCUUACUAUAGCAAAGGAUUGGUGGGAAUGAUGAGAGCACAAGAGGCAGGCAAUGGGAUUGAGAAGAAAUGGGAGGGGAAGGCAACCCAAAGCACGGACAGACAGACACAGUGCUGCUUGGUGCCUGAGAGAGAGAUGAGACACAUAGCGCGGCAAAUGCAGCAGGCGGCACAGGCCAGAGAGCUCACAGAGAAAGCCCUUAGACAGUUACUGUGGUCCCCUCCUGAGCCGGCACUCCCCAAGCUUGUGUGCGCAGGGCCUGGCAUCCAGAAUGCACAGAGAAGAAAACGGGUAAAUGACAGGGAACAGAUGCAAAUUAAAGAUCACCAGGAACGCAUGAUUAGAGGGAGGGAACUAAUAGAGCAAAGACUCAAGGCAAGAUUCUUGAGAAAAAGCCAGAGCCAGCCACCUACAACAGAGAAGCGUGAGAGAAUAAAGAAAGAGAUAAAAGAAUUUGAAAGUGUUACUGCAUAUCCACUUUUCCAGCCACGCAGAAGUCGGAUUAAAGUGAAUAUUCUUAUGGAAAAGUCUCAGAAUAGAGAAGAAGAGGAUACAAUUAUAAAAACUUAUCAAAGAAAAUUUUUAACUCUCCCACCCUUUUUGAGAAGUCAAAUAAGAAAAAUAAAAGAUUAGUCAAGUUUCAA